UGCUACUCCGGACUUCCUGGAUCGUGGUUCUCGCAGCUGAAACUCCUCCCGCACCUACCCAACCUGCCGCCCUUAAGUUGUCUCCCAGCCGGAGCAGUUCCCCGCGUAGACGGCUGGGCGUGUAGCCUCUUGACUCUGGUUUGAAGGAUUUGUUAACAAAAGAAACCACUGGUCACACAAUAAACAAUUUCAAUAUUUAAUCGAGGAUUAAUUGUCUUCAUUUCAAUUAUACAGUCA